rnacentral:rRNA from 1 species
UACAGAGGUCCCAAGCGUUGUUCGGAUUCACUGGGCGUAAAGGGUGCGUAGGCGGUCGGGUAAGUCUGAUGUGAAAAUCUCACAGCUUAACUGUGAAACUGCAUUGGAUACUAUCCGGCUCGAGGAAUGGAGGGGAGACUGGAAUACUUGGUGUAGCAGUGAAAUGCGUAGAUAUCAAGUGGAACACCAGUGGCGAAGGCGAGUCUCUGGACAUUUCCUGACGCUGAGGCACGAAAGCCAGGGAGCAAACGGG